rnacentral:rRNA from 1 species
GGGCCCGCACAAGCGGUGGAGCAUGUGGUUUAAUUCGACGCAACGCGAGGAACCUUACCUGGGCUUGAACUGCGGUGGACCGCUUUAGAGAUAGAGCUUUUCGCAAGAACUGCUGCAGAGGUGCUGCAUGGCUGUCGUCAGCUCGUGUCGUGAGAUGUUGGGUUAAGUCCCGCAACGAGCGCAACCCUUACCCUUAGUUGCCAGCGCGUAAUGGCGGGAACUCUAGGGGGACCGCCCGGGUUAACCGGGAGGAGGGUGGGGAUGACGUCAAGUCCUCAUGGCCCUUAUGUCCAGGGCUACACACGUGCUACAAUGGGUGAUACAAACCGUCGCAAAGUCGCGAGGUGGAGCUAAUCGGAGAAAGUCACCCUCAGUUCGGAUUGCAGUCUGCAACUCGACUGCAUGAAGGUGGAAUCGCUAGUAAUCGUAUAUCAGAAUGAUACGGUGAAUACGUUCCCGGGCCUU